CCUACGGGAGGCAGCAGUGGGGAAUUUUGGACAAUGGGCGCAAGCCUGAUCCAGCCAUGCCGCGUGUGGGAAGAAGGCCUUCGGGUUGUAAACCACUUUUGUCAGGGAAGAAACGGUCUGAACUAAUACUUUGGACUAAUGACGGUACCUGAAGAAUAAGCACCGGCUAACUACGUGCCAGCAGCCGCGGUAAUACGUAGGGUGUAAGCGUUAAUCGGAAUUACUGGGCGUAAAGCGUGCGCAGGCGGCUUUGCAAGACAGAUGUGAAAUCCCCGGGCUCAACCUGGGAACUGCAUUUGUGACUGCAUGGCUAGAGUACGGUAGAGGGGGAUGGAAUUCCGCGUGUAGCAGUGAAAUGCGUAGAUAUGCGGAGGAACACCGAUGGCGAAGGCAAUCCCCUGGACCUGUACUGACGCUCAUGCACGAAAGCGUGGGGAGCAAACAGGAUUAGAUACCCUGGUAGUCCACGCCCUAAACGAUGUCAACUGGUUGUUGGGAGGGUUUCUUCUCAGUAACGAAGCUAACGCGUGAGUUGACCGCCUGGGGAGGACGGCGCGAGUAGUUAACGUUACGAAUUAGAGUAGCGGCGNGNGACGNGCGACGGACGACGACGAGGGAGGAGG
rnacentral:rRNA from 1 species